GACGAACGCUGGCGGCGUGCUUAACACAUGCAAGUCGAGCGGUAAGGCCCUUUCGGGGGUACACGAGCGGCGAACGGGUGAGUAACACGUGGGUGACCUGCCCUCAGCUCUGGGAUAAGCCCGGGAAACUGGGUCUAAUACCGGAUAUGACUCCAUGACGCAUGUUGUGGGGUGGAAAGCCUUGUGCGGCUGAGGAUGGGCCCGCGGCCUAUCAGCUUGUUGGUGGGGUGAUGGCCACCAAGGCGACGACGGGUAGCCGGCCUGAGAGGGCGACCGGCCACACUGGGACUGAGACACGGCCCAGACUCCUACGGGAGGCAGCAGUGGGGAAUCUUGCGCAAUGGGCGAAAGCCUGACGCAGCGACGCCGCGUGAGGGAUGACGGCCUGGUGUAA
rnacentral:rRNA from 1 species